UAACUGCCGGAGGUGCGUGACGGCGCAUGUGACGCUAUCUCUGGAGAUCUUCACUGGGGUUUUGUCGUCGAUGAUUGAAGAACCUUGUGGUGGUGUUGUAAUUUGCACAAACCCCACUGAAAAUCAGAUUGACGUAAGCAACUGCUUUAGUCACUGGAAAAUUGCACGGUGACGACUGAAUUCUUCUUGGAUGUCGUUGGAAUGACACACAAUGAUAAUUAUAUCACUGAUGCUCUUGUACCAUGUGAGAAAGCACUUGAGAAAAUAAUAUUAUUAAUUACUUAAUUAAAGUGUCGUCCAACCCUAUUUAUAUACCGUGAGUACAUAAUAAUAUUUAUCUACUUCCCGAUGUGGGACACUUAUACACGACUAACUACUUGAACAAAUACUAGUAGCAAUACUGGUAAGAAUGACAACAUGGUUUGUUAGAG
rnacentral:lncRNA from 1 species